GUUGUACUCGUUCGUGUGUGCUGCAUCGCUCACCGUUUCUGCAUCCACGGCCAUCGGGUAUCAGGAGUCAUGUCGGGCUAUUCUGAAGCCAGGUGUAAAUUGAGGCCAGGUGGAUGAACUCAUAACGUGGAAGGUCUGACCGAGCCCCUCUGGAAGGUGACCUGUCUAGGAAACCCAUGGUGCCGGAGCUAGAAGAGACCUGAAGUAACACUUCAGUGGUUAUCAGGCUGCCUCAUGGAACUUCUGAACAGGUGAGGAAAGAGUCUAAAGGAGUGAGACUCCAGCCGUGCUGAAAGACCAGAUUUGAAGCUGCUCUCUAAAAGGAAUCUGCAGUCUCUGGCUCUUGGCCCAAGUUACUGUGGUUCAGGACCAGUCCUGUGUGUUUGGCAGACACGGUCAUCCCAGUCUCCAGUGUUUGAAUAAAGACUCUGUGCCUAAGGUAAUUCUGGCAUCUGAAUAUAAUAAACCACAGAAAAUGGAGGUGUCUAGAGGAAAGCAGACCUGCUGUCCAAGCUCUCAGGAGGUGAAGACAAGAAGAUCAUGGAUUCAAGGCCAGCCUGGGCUACAAAGAGACCCAGUCUCCAAAAAAGAUAAAUAAAUGCAGUUUUACCUGA